GACUCAGGGGACCAAAGUGACCAAACUCUAUUCAGUUGUUGAUGGAAGUGAUGGUCCCUGAGCUGGCAGGAGCGUCACAGCUGGCCUGGGUGGAGCCAGCUCACCAGGAACCUGCAUUUAUUACACGUUCAUUUACAUCCCAGAGAGGUUUCUCCUCCUGAUGCCAGGCUGCAGCUCUGAGGAUGGCAGCCUCCAUCCCUAAAUAAGCUGGGGGGUGAUUGGAGAGCUGCUUCCAGGGCUGCAUCCUGCCUGAUGCCAAGGGAUCUGUAGGACAGCAGGGAGGAGCCCAUGAGAUCUGCCUUGGUUCCCAUUAGCUUGGUUUGCUGGGCUGCAAUUUUUAACUCAAUUACAUUGUUUGUGAAAGGAGAGUUUGUAAAUGCUUGCCACCAGGAGCCCAAAGUUACAUAAAGAAACCAUUUACCAGUUUCA